AAAAAAGGGCGCAUGGCGGAUGCCUUGGCUCUCGGAGGCGAUGAAGGACGUGAUAAGCUGCGAUAAGCUUUGGGGAGGUGCAAAUGACCUUUGAUCCAGAGAUUUCCGAAUGGGACAACCCAAUAUCUUGAAGAGGUAUUAUCUUACUAUGUAAGAGGCUAACGCAGGGAACUGAAACAUCUUAGUACCUGCAGGAAAAGAAAAUAAACAAUGAUUCCCCAGUAGUGGCGAGCGAACGGGGAACAGCCCAAACCAUCCAUGUUACGGCAUGGGUGGGGUUGUAGGACUACGCCGUUGCAUGAAGACAUCAGAGAAGAACUUUCUGGAAAGAAAGACCAUAGAGCAUGACAGUUGCGUAUUCGAAUGUUGUCGAAGCAUAGUAGUAUCCUGAGUAGCGCGGAGCACGAGGAAUUCUGCGUGAAUCUGCCGGGACCAUCCGGUAAGGCUAAAUACUCCCGAGAGACCGAUAGCGAACCAGUACCGUGAGGGAAAGGUGAAAAGCACUUCGAACAGAAGAGUGAAAUAGUUCCUGAAACCGUGCGCCUACAAGCGGUCGGAGCUCGUUAAUGAGUGACGGCGUGCCUUUUGCAUAAUGAACCUACGAGUUGCCUUUGCCGGCAAGGUUAAGUGUGACGACACACGUAUCCGAAGCGAAAGCGAGUCUGAACAGGGCGUAUAGUCGGCAGUGGCAGACGCGAAACCAAGUGAUCUACCCUUGGCCAGGUUGAAGGCUGGGUAACACCAGCUGGAGGACCGCACCAAUAAGCGUUGAAAAGCUUCUGGAUGAGCUGAGGGUAGGGGUGAAAGGCUAAUCAAACUUGGAGAUAGCUCGUACUCCCCGAAAUGCAUUUAGGUGCAGCCUUGCGGGUUACUGAUGUGAGGUAGAGCGACUGAUAAGAUGCGAGGGCUUCACCGCCUAUCAAGUCUUGACAAACUCCGAAUGCGCAUCAGUUCUACCGCAGGAGUGAGGGCAUGGGUGCUAAGGUCCGUGCCGAGAGGAGAAGAAUCCGGACCACCUGCUAAGGUCCCGAAAUGACAGCUAAGUUAAACUAACGAAGUCUGACUGCUAAGACAGCUAGGAUGUUGGCUUGGAAGCAGCCAUUCAUUUAAAGAGUGCGUAACAGCUCACUAGUCGAGGAGUCGGGCGUGGAUAAUAAUCGGGUAUCAAGUUGUCUACCGAAGCAGUGGGAUCAUUAAUAUGAUCGGUAGGGGAGCAUUCCAGUCAGCGUCGAAGGCGUACCGUGAGGUAUUCUGGAGCGUCUGGAAAAGCAAAUGUAGGUAUAAGUAACGAUAAAGGGGGCGGGAAACCCCCUCGCCGAAAGACUAAGGUUUCCUGAUCAACGCUAAUCGGAUCAGGGUCAGUCGGGUCCUAAGGCUCAGCCGAACGGCGAUGCCGAUGGCAGAAACGGUUAAUAUUCCGUUACUACCUUCAGGAGUGACGUGGAGACGCAGUAGUGACAGUGCCGCCAUCUGACGGAAUAGAUGGUUGAAGGGUGUAGGAGUCGAUCAUGGCAGGCAAAUCCACCAUGAGAUCCGAACCUGACAGUAUGCCGCGUCCUUCGGGACAAGGCAAUAGUGCGCGUAAGCAUGCUGCCGAGAAAAUCCGCUAAACUUAAUCCUGCAGGUACCCGUACCGCAAACGGACACACGUAGUCGGGAUGAAUAUUCUAAGGCGCUUGAGUGAUUCACGGUUAAGGAACUAGGCAAACUGACCCUGUAACUUCGGGAUAAAGGGUCCCUACCCUUUUAUGGGAGGGCGCAGAGAAUCGGUCCAGGCAACUGUUUAACAAAAACACAGGGCUGUGCCAAAUCGAAAGAUCCAGUAUACAGCCUGACACCUGCCCGGUGCUGGAAGGUUAAGAGGAGAUGUCAUCGAUAAGAGAAGCGUUGAAUUGAAGCCCCAGUAAACGGCGGCCGUAACUAUAACGGUCCUAAGGUAGCGAAAUUCCUUGUCGGGUAAGUUCCGACCUGCACGAAUGGUGUAAUGAUCUGGACGCUGUCUCAACCGUGAGCUCAGUGAAAUUGUAGUAUCGGUGAAGAUGCCGAUUACCCGCGAUGGGACGAAAAGACCCCGUGAACCUUUACUAUAGCUUAUCAUUGAAUCUGGGCACGUGAUGUGUAGGAUAGGUCGGAGGCUUUGAAGCAGGUACGCCAGUAUUUGUGGAGCCGCUGUUGAAAUACGACCCUUUAUUUGUUUGGAUUCUAACCCGUGGAUACGGGGACAUUGAUUGGUGGGUAGUUUGACUGGGGUGGUCGCCUCCAAAAGCGUAACGGAGGCUUCUAAAGGUGCCCUCCGGCCGAUUGGUAACCGGCCUUAGAGUGUAAUGGCAUAAGGGCGCUUGACUGGGAGACUAACAAGUCGAUCAGGUAGGAAACUAGAGCAUAGUGAUCCGGUGUUUCCGUAUGGAAGGGACAUCGCUCAAAGGAUAAAAGGUACUCCGGGGAUAACAGGCUGAUCCCUCCCAAGAGCUCAUAUCGACGGAGUGGUUUGGCACCUCGAUGUCGGCUCGUCACAUCCUGGGGCUGGAGAAGGUCCCAAGGGUUGGGCUGUUCGCCCAUUAAAGUGGCACGCGAGCUGGGUUCAGAACGUCGUGAGACAGUUCGGUCUCUAUCUAUCGUGGGCGUAUGAAAUUUGCGUGGCUCUGACACUAGUACGAGAGGACCGUGUUGGACAGACCUCUGGUUUGCCGGUUGUGCCGCCAGGUGCAUUGCCGGGUAUCUAAGUCUGGAUCGGAUAAGUGCUGAAAGCAUCUAAGUACGAAGCCGGCCACAAGAUUAGAUUUCUCAGGGUCGUUGUAGACUACGACGUUGAUAGGAUGCAGGUGUAA
rnacentral:rRNA from 2 species